UAGGGAAUCUUCCGCAAUGGACGCAAGUCUGACGGAGCAACGCCGCGUGAGUGAAGAAGGAUUUCGGUUCGUAAAACUCUGUUGUUAGAGAAGAACAGCGCAUAGAGUAACUGUUAUGCGUGUGACGGUAUCUAACCAGAAAGCCACGGCUAACUCCGUGCCAGCAGCCGCGGUAAUACGUAGGUGGCAAGCGUUGUCCGGAUUUAUUGGGCGUAAAGCGAGCGCAGGCGGUCAAUUAAGUCUGAUGUGAAAGCCCCCGGCUCAACCGGGGAGGGUCAUUGGAAACUGGUUGACUUGAGUGCAGAAGAGGAGAGUGGAAUUCCAUGUGUAGCGGUGAAAGGCGUAGAUAUAUGGAGGAACACCAGUGGCGAAGGCGACUCUCUGGUCUGUAACUGACGCAGAGGCUCGAAAGCGUGGGUAGCGAACAGG
rnacentral:rRNA from 1 species